rnacentral:lncRNA from 1 species
GUUUGGAGGUAAAAAAUGCCAUCACCCUCUUAACCAAGCUUCUCUUUGUCAGAAAUUCGGUUUCCAGUCCUCAAUGACUUUGCAUUUCUGUCUCCACAGCCUUUUUGAUAUUUCAUUAACACACAUGAAAAUCCUUCUGAAUGAUGUUCCUGUGCUUUGUAAAAACGCAUCUAGCAUCCCACAGGUGAUAUAGACAGGAGACAGGGAGAUACUGAGUAGAAGAGGGUGGUUUCCUGGCAAGAACCCCACCCUCAAGCCUGAAGAACCUUGGCCCUAAAUGAGGACAGGCAUUCCUGUUUUUGCACUCAAGAAGUUGCCUUUCGGCCUGCUACGUUCCCUAUCCUGCACCCAUAUAAACCUCAAACCCCAGGCUCCAGGAGCAGACCAGCAGAUGAAGAGAAGCAGAGGGACGGCAGAAGGACACAGCAGGGAGACAGGAAGAGGAACGUUCAGCUGGGGGUGGUUGGAAAGGAGUUUGGCAGCUGGACAGCCCAACUCCAGGGGAAGAUCAUCUUCCCACUCCAUCCCCCACUUCCGCUUUCCCAUCCAUCCCGCCAAGAGCCACCUCCACCACUCGACGAAACCCUGCGUUGAUCCUUCAAGCCCGUGUGUGACCCGAUACUCCCGGGAUGCUGGAUAAGAACUCGGGAUACAGAAAGAUUUCACACUGGCCCUCUGACCUUGCAAAAAGGCAGAGGGUCCAUAGAGCUGGUUAACACUUAAAGCCAUCUGUGGACAGCAAGGCUAAGACAGCAUUGUAGCACUGGGAUUGCAGGCGCCCACCUCGAGACCCUACCAUGGGGCUGGAGCCCAAAGUGCUCGCCCCAGCUCUGCAUCUGCCCUUCUGCGUGCUCCCUUUCCCGCAAGGGGUUUGAGAAGCAGCAGGACGGUGACCUGUCAGUCACUCCACACCCCUGUCACAAGUACUGAGAGGGGGAACCGGGAACUCUCCCAUUUCACAGGGACUCUAACUUACUUCCUCAUCACUAAGUUUAGAGUUGCUCCACACUUGCUUUUUUCUUCUGUGGGUAUAGGGGAGUUGGAGUUGCUAAAAUGUGCUGCAACCCAUGUUUUCCCUUUAGCCUGGAGUACUCUUGCUUGGUCCCUUCCCUCAUCCUACUCUCACCCUACAGUCACACUCCCAAAAGUUUGCCCGGAUAUGGCUUACUUACUGUACCCAUUCUUCAUGUUACCUCCUCAAAGCCUUCUUUGAAACUUUCCACCUUCAAGAUCAGGUAUCCUGUAGUACUGAUAUAUAUGUAGUUGGUGCUAAAUAAAUGUGAUUGGGUGGAUUAACGAAUACAUGGACAGUUGGAUGGAGACCAAGCAAGGUGGUGUAAUCCCAUUCUGUGAAAAUUUUAAAAAAUAAGAAAUUGAACUCACAAAGGGACAACAAAUAUUUUGGUUUCCAGGGAAGAUAAAAGAACAUUCUAUAUGUAUUGUGAUUACUUUUUUCCAGGGACUCUUUAAUUCCUAACUUCCUAGCAAGGAGUGACCAAGACAGCUUUUUGAGCUAUCAUCUGGCUCUAUGACUGUGGUGUGAGGAGGGUUUGCACUUGGUGCCAACACAGAGAAAUCACCCUGUUUAGAGUAGAGGGGAUGAAGGACGGGGGGAGAAAUCACAUCCCCUGAACUCUCAGCUAUGGAAAGGCCUGGCUCUUGGCACAGUUACCGGGUAUUACCAGGUACCAAUGUCUGUCUUGGAUGACUCCAAUACUCUCUCCCUCUACUCUUCCCUUGUCCCUCACUCCCUGACCCUCGCCUCUCUGGGCAUCAGCAGAGGGAAGCAGGGGCCUCUGCCAUCCCAUCAGCCUGUACCUUCCUGCCAGACAGCCUUGGAGAUGAUUGUCACUGCAGUGGCAUCUGGGGAACCCUGCUUUCCUCUGUCUUGGCUCAUAAUUUUUCAGAGCCGGAGGAGCAGCCACUCUAAGCAGCUCUGCACUGCUGUGCUUGGAUGCUCACAGUUCAGACACGUCAUCUCCCUCCUCAGCAGAGAACAAGCUCACAUAGCUGCUGCACAAAUUUAUGGCUCAGCCUGAACAUCCAUUAGCUAUGCUUCCCUUUUAUUUUUUAAAAAUGUUAAUUAUACAAAUAAUACAUGAACACAUUUUAGUUGUAAAAUUUAAAAUCUAAGCAUAAAAGUAAAGCUAAAGUCUACUUUGACCAUACGCUUUCUAGACCAUACCCCUUUCUAGAGGUAACUGUUGUUACCUUCUUUUGUGCAUUUAGGCUCUUAUACAGAAAUACAGAAAAAAUGGUUUUCAUAUUUAAAAAAUUUAAAAAUCAUGUUAUAUAUAGUGUUCAGUAAAUUGUUUUCUUAUUUCACUAAUAUUUCUUUUCCUAUUAAUAUAUACAGAUUAACCUCAUUCUUCCUAACUGUUGCAUACGGAAUGGCUAUGGAUAUAGUAGCAUUUAUUAACCCAUUCCUUAUUCAUAGAUAGACUCAUUAGAGUUUUUUUUUUCCCACUAGAGACAACACAGCUACGAAGAUCCUUGUGAACUCUAGUUUGUGCAUGAGUGGUUCCCUGAAACAGCAUGGUAGGCACAUAUGAAAUUUUAAUGCAUACCAGCAAUUGUCCUUUAAAAGCGCUAAAGCAAUUUACAUUCCACCAGCAAGAUAUUUAAGGACAAUUUAAUACAUCCUAAGUAACACUUGAUUAUUUCAUAUAUUAAAUUCUUCAUAUUUGGUAUACCUUUAUUAUUAUUAUUCAUUUAAUCAUUCAUUGGCUUAUUCAACAAACGUGUAUUGAGUUUCAGAUAUGUUUCACCCACCAGGCAACAGAGUUGUAAAGCUAGCAGCUCUGCAAACAGCACCUGCAUGAUGAUUUCAGUGUCAGGAAAGCCUCUACACCAGAGCAGCCCCCUUCUUCUGCUUGCUGUAAGUGUCUUUAGCAGGGGAUCUCAGAUCCCCUUGCCCAGUGAGCCAUUAGGCUGUCAGUGCAAACCUGCUCAUGGGAAGUCACAUUCACUGGAGUCACUCACACCACGCUAGAGGCCCCAUGGGCUCAUUCCUGAGAGAGGGCUGUGUUGGAGGAGUUAGGAAAGGAGGAGGGAAAGCUGCCAAUUGUAGGCAGGGGUGAAGAUGGGAGAUCUUGUCUACUUCAAAGCUCCUCCUUGAAUCAGCAGGUUGCUACUAUAUGUGUGGUGGCACAUUAGUGUGUUUUUUCUUACAUUUUAAAGAUAAUUUACAUGGACUGUUAUAAAGGGUCUAGUAUAAUAAUGAGGAUGAUGAUGAAAAUAAUAAUGUUUCAUUGACUCUUAACACUCUAUUGAUUGUGACAUGAGCCAUUAUUUUGUGAGCCACUGAGAAAAAAGUCCGGAAGAGAAGCAGAUAAUCACCUCUUGCAAACCAGUGAAAGCUGACCCUAGAACAACACUAGAUAGAUUUCAUUAUUAUUACCAUUUUAGAGAUAAGAUAACUGAGGUUUAGAAAGAUUAGAUAAUUUGUGCAGGACUAUAUAGCUAGUAAAUAGCAAAACUUGCCACUUCACCACUGCAUCCUUACAAAACCCUCACUAAUAGGGGCAUGAGUAGUAUGGAUGAAGGACUUGGAAUCAUUCUUACAACAGCCUGCUCUGAUGAGCAGUCAACUUCAGCUGACUCCUAAAUCCCACUGCUGGAUCAUUCUUGGGGAUUACGGGAACAACUGAGUUCUGUUCUCAUAUAGUCCCCGCCCUUUUCCCUCUGUGGAUAUAUUUGUUCCUUCUUAAUUCAACACAACAAACAUUUAUUGAGCACUUACUGUAUGCAAAACAUUGUCCUAGGCACCAUCCUCUUGGCUUCCAAAGGACAUGGGAAGGCACCACUCUAACUUCCCAGUGGAAUCGGAAGAAUAACUGCCUACUAAAUAUUAGAACUACCUAGAAAAACACAUGAAAUCAUCUCUGAAAAUUUUGAAAAAUAAAUCAGGAUUCUAUUAGUGUUGAGAUAGAAUAAUAGAACAUUUUUAGCUAAGAAAGAAAAUUAAAACCUGCUUCUACCAUAUACCCUCCUCCUUCCUCCUAAAUACUUUAAUUAAGCUCUCCAUGAGAGGUCACCAGGAUGAAGACAUAGCAGCUCUGACUUUUCUCAUUAUCCAUCUCCUAGAGACUAGAUGUGAUUAGACUGACUGAAUCUUUUGAGCCCAGGGAAGCAUCGUGAAAUUUGUGGUGUCCCUGAAAAGAUAUAUCUGAAAAGAUAUUAUCAUUAGUUGUGCAAAUAUCCCAAAUAAGGGAGCACUAUAGAGAAUUUAAACUUUGCAAGUUCACUGAUGGAUAAAAAUUCUGUAUGUGUGCAUCUGUCACUUCUUGGAUAUCUGACUCUGCUUCCAAAGAGUAGAUUAUAUCCAGAUGGGCUUCUGUCACCUGGCUACAGCAACAGCAUGCAACAUUUUAAAUUUAUUUAUUUGCAGCCAUACCCUGUGUUCUUUUGUUUUCCCUGGCUACUUCCCGCAUAGCCCAGAGGCAGGUGUUACAAUCCCAGUGGCCUGAUCCUCUUGUAAGAACACCACCAGCACACCAGGGCAUGACUGCCUAGGCUGCUGCCAGAUGGGGAGAUCUUGAAUGGAAAUAGUCACACAUUGAAAUGGUGCCAAGUAGCAGGCAGUCUUGCAAAACCAACAUGGCUUUGGAGACACAAUACCUCUGAUGAGUGAGAGGCGUGGUGGUAUUUGUGGAAACCCAGCUGUUGCAGACGGUGGCAUUAACUUGCCCAGCUUUGGCGACAGUUGUCUGAGUUUGGGAUCACUGAACCUUAAUAUAGAAUUUUUUCUGGCCCUAGUAUUAUCUGCGGGUAAACCGUAGCCUUGGGUCUCAGCUGCAGCUGUAUACAAUAUUUCUAAAGACAGACUUUUCCAGUUCGACUAGCGAGAAUGUAUUAAAUCACAUGGCCAUGUGUUCACUUCUAAACUGGAAAUUCAACUUUAGUUGGGAACUGGCCUAGCAGGAGAACAAAGGCCAUAUAAAAGUUUCAAGGAAGAGGAAAUUGUUCUCUUACAUGACUGUGGACCUACUAAAUGAAGCAAUAUUGCAAGAUUCAGCUAGGAGGUUGAGUGAAAACAGAAGCCUUGGGCUGCCUUCUGGCCACUUUGAACAAAGAGACAUAAAGCAUGUUUAGGAGGAAGGAGUGUGGAUUGAGCUUUGAUCUUCUGGACACUGUUAAACCCACUCUUACAUCCAAACAUAAGAAGGGCUGAUUAUCUGUUAACUUUCUCUAGUUUCCUUCCUCGUUCCAUCUUCUCAGUGGGAAAAUGAGUGGGUUUAUUCUCAACUCCCUUUCAGCCUCAUGACUUUACAAAUGAUUUAUUGGAUGCCUGUCCUUGUGCCCAGCCAUGUACCAGGAAGACUGAGUGAUAUAAAGGACUUCUAUUUUUGAGAAGUUGAACAAUGAAAUAUGCACUCACUGUACAGCACCAGUAAUAAAAGUGAGGGAGAGAGGGGGAGGCUCACUUAAGUGUGGUCUAGUUUUCUCGCUGUAAUGAUGGCAGGCUCUGAUCAGCCUCUUUUUCUUCUCUCUUUAAUUCCUCUGUUCUUUCUUUCUAUGAGACAGGAGCAAGAAUUAAAUGAAUGACGUGAGGUAGGAUCUAGAGAACUCCAGAAAAUUGAAUUGUCUGAGCUGUAGUGGCUUGACUGGCUGGCUGAGAUAAUCAGUCCUCCAAAUUGGUCCUGCAAUCUUAAGCUAGGCAUUGGUAGACUGUGCCAAACCCACACAUGGUUUUCACUGAUCUCUCUAUUUGUUCUCAGUUUCCACCUACCUCCCAACUCCUAAGCCUUUUCCCCCAGAUGUCCAUGCCCCAGGCUCUUUAAAAUUACUGUUUAGCUGCCAUUUACCAAGCUCUGAAAUGUCCCAUGUGCUAUGUGGGUGCUCCAUGAUGUUCCAAGGGAGCAGUGUUGUAAUCCAUUUCAAAGGUGAGAAAUACAUUCUGCCUGAAUAUCCAGUAGGUGCUGGAGUUUUAAUGCAAACUUGGAAUUGCCCAUUCUUAGAGCCUGUGCUCUUUUUCUCUUGAAGUUUGUACAAUGUGAGUUUUUGUAACACAGGGAAUGAAUAACGCUAAAAUACUCACAGGGCACAUCUGAGACUUUGCCUGGCAACUUACUAGGAUGAUAAGCUUCCUUUGUUGAAGUUUCUUUAGAUCUCAGAUUCCCUAGUUAUGAAAUAAGUGGGGUUGGACUGGCUGAUCCCACUCCAACCUCUUAGAGUCUGUGAGAGCUCAGGACAGAGCAGUUAUAUUUCUGUUAAUCCUGGGAAUUCUGCCUCUUAGGCCGGAGUCCUGGAAACUUAGCUAUUGGAGAGUAAUCCGCUUCAGACAAUGAGCCCUCUAAAUGAGAUUUUUUCAGACUAGAUUGUAGUAUUUCAGCUCUUUGUUCCCAUGAACACACACAUGCUUGGAGGUCCAUGAGACCAAAUCUGUUCUUUGGGAAAGAUGAUAUCCCUCUUUCUUUGGGAAAGAUAAUAUCCCAUCUUUGGGAAAGAUAUCAAAUGCAGGAAUGUAAGCAAUUCCUGCAUUUGAAAAAGACCAAAUUUGGGGUAUGUCCUGGGGGAAACUGUAUUUGAAGAAGAAAGUUUAUUACAAAGCUUUAUGGAAGGAAAGAAGCUUAAGCGGUUCAUGUAGAUGAGCUCUAAGGCACUGCUGAAAUAGGGGCCUAGGAAAGAAAAAGUGAUUUAACCUGAUCAUAUGGAACAGAGGUAAAGCAGCAGCACUUUUACUGCCAAGAUAGAUGAAAGGGAUGAAGAGAAAAAAGCCAAGGGCAUAUUACAGUAGGCUUGAUAAAUGUCAUCCUGAAAUCUAACUCAGUAUUUGAAUGCUAUAAAUUGUGUUAAGAAAUAUAAGGCCAAAUAAACCUUUGGGACUGUUUGUGACUGAUUCAAGGCGACUGAGUUUAAACUGCUGCUGAUGAAAUGGAUGAG